rnacentral:tRNA from 1 species
ACUCUUCUAGUAUAUUAAAUACAAUAGACUUCCAAUCUUUUAAAUCCGGUCAAACCCCGGAGAAGAGUA